rnacentral:rRNA from 1 species
GCGAGCUUGCCUAGAUGAUUUUAGUGCUUGCACUAAAUGAAACUAGAUACAAGCGAGCGGCGGACGGGUGAGUAACACGUGGGUAACCUGCCCAAGAGACUGGGAUAACACCUGGAAACAGAUGCUAAUACCGGAUAACAACACUAGACGCAUGUCUAGAGUUUGAAAGAUGGUUCUGCUAUCACUCUUGGAUGGACCUGCGGUGCAUUAGCUAGUUGGUAAGGUAACGGCUUACCAAGGCAAUGAUGCAUAGCCGAGUUGAGAGACUGAUCGGCCACAUUGGGACUGAGACACGGCCCAAACUCCUACGGGAGGCAGCAGUAGGGAAUCUUCCACAAUGGACGAAAGUCUAAUGGAGCAACGCCCCGUGAGUGAAGAAGGGUUUCGGCUCGUAAAGCUCUGUUGGUAGUGAAGAAAGAUAGAGGUAGUAACUGGCCUUUAUUUGACGGUAAUUACUUAGAAAGUCACGGCUAACUACGUGCCAGCAGCCGCGGUAAUACGUAGGUGGCAAGCGUUGUCCGGAUUUAUUGGGCGUAAAGCGAGUGCAGGCGGUUCAAUAAGUCUGAUGUGAAAGCCUUCGGCUCAACCGGAGAAUUGCAUCAGAAACUGUUGAACUUGAGUGCAGAAGAGGAGAGUGGAACUCCAUGUGUAGCGGUGGAAUGCGUAGAUAUAUGGAAGAACACCAGUGGCGAAGGCGGCUCUCUGGUCUGCAACUGACGCUGAGGCUCGAAAGCAUGGGUAGCGAACAGGAUUAGAUACCCUGGUAGUCCAUGCCGUAAACGAUGAGUGCUAAGUGUUGGGAGGUUUCCGCCUCUCAGUGCUGCAGCUAACGCAUUAAGCACUCCGCCUGGGGAGUACGACCGCAAGGUUGAAACUCAAAGGAAUUGACGGGGGCCCGCACAAGCGGUGGAGCAUGUGGUUUAAUUCGAAGCAACGCGAAGAACCUUACCAGGUCUUGACAUCCAGUGCAAACCUAAGAGAUUAGGUGUUCCCUUCGGGGACGCUGAGACAGGUGGUGCAUGGCUGUCGUCAGCUCGUGUCGUGAGAUGUUGGGUUAAGUCCCGCAACGAGCGCAACCCUUGUCAUUAGUUGCCAUCAUUAAGUUGGGCACUCUAAUGAGACUGCCGGUGACAAACCGGAGGAAGGUGGGGAUGACGUCAAGUCAUCAUGCCCCUUAUGACCUGGGCUACACACGUGCUCAAUGGACGGUACAACGAGAAGCGAACCUGCGAAGGCAAGCGGAUCUCUUAAAGCUGUUCUCAGUUCGGACUGUAGGCUGCAACUCGCCUACACGAAGCUGGAAUCGCUAGUAAUCGCG